GGGUAAAGAUUUAUUAGUUGGAAUUUUUUAACUUAUUUUUAAUAAAAAUAAUUUUAUAAUUAAUUUUUUAGUAUAUUUUAUAGAAAAAAGUAUUUUAAUCAUAGUUUAGUAGUAUUGUAGAAGAAAGUUGAAAUAUAUUGAAAAAAGUUUUAUUUAAAAGAAAUAUUUAUUUUAUGUACCUUUUGUAUCAGGGUUUAUUAAUUAAUUUUUAUUAAUAAAUAAGUUUCUCGAAUUUAAAAGAUUUAAUAAAUUAUUAAAGUUGAUGUGGAAUAAUUAUUUUAAAUAAUUUAUUAGUAAUGAAAUGUUAUUCGUUUUUAAAUAUAUCUAGUUUUUUAAGAAAUAAAUUUAAUUUACAUAUUUAGAAUAUAAUUUUUUAUUUUAUUAAAAGGAUUAUUUUUUUAUAUGAAUAUUUUAAGGGAUAAGCUUUAAUUUAUUUACUAUAAUAAAAUUUAUUAAAAUUAUAAAUAUAAGGUUAGAAAUAUCUAUUAUUAAAAAGUUUGUUUUAAUUUAUAUAUUUUAUUUAUAAUUUAUUUUUAUUUAGAUUUUUUAUUAAAAUAAUUAUUUUAAUUAAAAAUAUAAUGAAAUAAUGAUAAAAUUAGUAUAAAAAUUUGUUGAGGUUUAAUUAUUAAAAAGAUUAAAUUAAGGAAUUCAGCAAAUUAAUACUCACCUGUUUAACAAAAACAUGUCUUUUUGAUUAUAAUUUAAAGUCUAACCUGCCCACUGAAAUUUUUGAAGGGCCGCGGUAUUUUGACUGUGCAAAGGUAGCAUAAUCAUUAGUCUUUUAAUUGGAGGCUUGUAUGAAUGGUUGGAUGAGGUAUUAACUGUCUCAAUUUAAUAAAUAAUAGAAUUUUAUUUUUAAGUUAAAAAGCUUAAAUUUUAUUAAAAGACGAGAAGACCCUAUAGAUCUUUAUAGUUAAAUUUAUAAUAAUUUUUUAGAUUAAUUUUAUUUUUAUAAAUGUAAUUAUUAUAUUGGGGUGAUAAAAAAAUUUAUAAAACUUUUUUUGUAAAUUAACAAUAAUAUUUGAUUAAUUGAUCCAUUUUUUGUGAUUAUAAGAUUAAGUUACCUUAGGGAUAACAGCGUAAUUUUUUUGGAGAGUUCUUAUCGAUAAAAAAGAUUGCGACCUCGAUGUUGAAUUAAAGGUUAAUUUUAGGUGUAGAAGUUUAAAAUUUUGGUCUGUUCGACCAUUAAAUCUUUACAUGAUUUGAGUUCAAACCGGCGUGAGCCAGGUUGGUUUCUAUCUUUAAUUAAAUAAAAUAUUUUAGUACGAAAGGACCAAAUAUUUAAAAUAAUUUUUAAAAAUGAAUAAUAUUAAU
rnacentral:rRNA from 1 species